AGUCACAGGUGAAGGUACGUGCCGAGUCGUCGGUGAAUAUGAUGGCCACUGCUUGUCUCUUGGUCUCCUUGGGGAGCCGUGUGACACACUUGACGUUGCUGAUCUCUGUCACCUGGAACAGCAUCCACAAGGUUGGGAGAGCUAGGGCCCGGGCCCCCUAACCUUGGGGCAGCCUCGGAGGCACACUGACUUCUCAUCUGGAUACUUCUCCAGCCGCUGGGGCCCCUUGCUGGAGGAUUUCCGGAACACCAGCCAGCACCUCCGGUAGAUCUGUGGGACAAGAUGGCAGGGGGAUCAGACCCCGGACCACCCCCAAGGCAGCCGGUGACCCUGGAGUUACCCCUGCCUACCACAGCAGGCAGUGCCGCACAGCCUUCCAGGGAGCUCAGGCCCAAGAGAUCUGGGGACAGCUGACACCAGCAUGACACCCUGCCCUGGGGAAGAGGACCCUCCCCGAAUUGAAAAGUCAGUCGUUUCUUGGCUGGCUCUGAAAGGCUGUCCCAUAAAGGGUGCUCCUGAGUUACUGUUUACUGAGCUCAGCUCUGGGUGUAACGUAAGUAGCCAACAUUUAUGGA